GGGGAUGCACCGGUUUCGACAGGAGAAUUUGUGUCAUAAAUAGCGAGUCGGGAUUCCAUUUACCCGUUAAACGGUGGACAAACAUAAACGCAAAACAAGAUUUUGCUUUAGCAGCCUAAUCUGCUAAUGUCCCCUGACGUUUUCCUAUGACGUCAGGCUGACAUCAACCAAUAGGAUACUUGCUUUGGGCGUUCGGGACAAAGUAGGGAAAAUAAUUCCGAAAUCGGUAAAGGUAGUUUGCUCUUGUACGGUACUUUACUUAAAUUUCAAACAAUAGCUGCACUCGGAGAAGUUUAUGUGACAAUCUUUUUGGACAGGGGUUCGACUCCCCUCAUCUCCACCA
rfam:Veillonellaceae bacterium DNF00626 genomic scaffold Scaffold132, whole genome shotgun sequence.